rnacentral:tRNA from 1 species
GGUAAAAUGGCUGAGUGAAGCAUUAGACUGUAAAUCUAAAGACAGAGGUUUUAGCCCUCUUUUUACCA